AACGCUAGCUACAGGCUUAACACAUGCAAGUCGAGGGGCAGCAUGGUCUUAGUUUGCUAAGGCCGAUGGCGACCGGCGCACGGGUGAGUAACACGUAUCCAACCUGCCGUCUACUCUUGGACAGCCUUCUGAAAGGAAGAUUAAUACAAGAUGGCAUCAUGAGUCCACAUGUUCACAUGAUUAAAGGUAUUCCGGUAGACGAUGGGGAUGCGUUCCAUUAGAUAGUAGGCGGGGUAACGGCCCACCUAGUCUUCGAUGGAUAGGGGUUCUGAGAGGAAGGUCCCCCACAUUGGAACUGAGACACGGUCCAAACUCCUACGGGAGGCAGCAGUGAGGAAUAUUGGUCAAUGGGCGAGAGCCUGAACCAGCCAAGUAGCGUGCAGGAAGACGGCCCUAUGGGUUGUAAACUGCUUUUAUGCAGGAAUAAAGUUAGCCACGUGUGGCUAUUUGUAGGUACUGUAUGAAUAAGGACCGGCUAAUUCCGUGCCAGCAGCCGCGGUAAUACGGAAGGUCCAGGCGUUAUCCGGAUUUAUUGGGUUUAAAGGGAGCGUAGGCCGUCUGUUAAGCGUGUUGUGAAAUGUAGAUGCUCAACAUCUGAAUUGCAGCGCGAACUGGCAGACUUGAGUGUGCGCAACGUAGGCGGAAUUCGUGGUGUAGCGGUGAAAUGCUUAGAUAUCACGAAGAACUCCGAUUG
rnacentral:rRNA from 1 species